UAGAAUAGUUUCCAUUUUCAAGUAGUUUCUAUUAAUUGUUUGAUUUUUCCUUUAUAUUAGUCAUGUAAUAGAGAAGAACUCAGUUUUAGAUUUGAAAUUUUGAUUUGAAAUUGGAUGUUUACUUGGCUGAAGCUUUGGUUGCCGUGACUCUCUCUUUUCUUAUGUUUUUUUCUUCUUCUUCUCCUCUUCCUUGCGAUCUCCUUUUCUCCUUUCUUCUCUUUCUAUUUUCUUCUUCUACUUUUCUCUUCCUUUUCUGGUUUGUAUUCUUUUCUCUGUUUCUGGGCGGUAGUUGCAGUCCCAAAUAAAGGGAUCGAUCUCCCUCAUUCUUGAUCUGCUUGGACUGAGAUUUUGGUGGAGGGUUCUCCUUCCCUAGGCAACCCUAGCCGUAGAAUCUCGUCUCCAGAAGGUCGUUCUAUCAAGAGGUUCAAGACCAAGUUCAGAUCUGGUUCCCUAUUACCGCCAGAUCUGAGUUGCAGGGACAAUACAACUCCUCUUACUUCUUGUUUGAAGUGUUUAUUUGUCGGAGUCAAGAGACCCUAAGGCUGGCAGCCUUCGUUUCGUAGUUCAGGUCAAACCAAGCUCUAUCGAAGGAGUCCGAUCGAUCGGAGUUUUUUUUUUCUGUUCCGCUGGUUUCUGGUUCUCACGAUAAGAAGAAGAAGAAACAAGUUUUUUUUUCUUUUGUUUUAAAAGAGUUUAUUCCCUGUUAUUACAUGAAAGCCCCUGUCCUGAAAUUGUGUUCUAUUGUUCCUCCCCCUCACUUUAACAAUUACACAUUACCCCUUCUCUUCUACUUUUAUAUUUCAGUUUGACCCUACUCUUUAUUUUCCUCUCUCUUAAGCUCUUAAAAUUGUUUCUGAAAUUACAAGAAUACCCCUCAACCAUUACAUUGAGCUUCUUAGUCAUUCUGGUGGGCCCUAAGUGAUCCAAUUCCUGAUUUUGGGAACCCAGAUCCGCAUCACCACUAGUGGGCCUUAUUGAAUUAUAAAUCGAUGGGCCCAAUGGGCCUUUAUUAACUAAUGACUAAAUUAAAUUAACACUUAAGUGGCUGACUUAAGUGGAUCAAUGGGCCCAACUUGUUGGCCGAUGGGCCAUUAAUAGAUGGAGAUCGAAUCAGCCGUAAGGCUGGGUCGAUGGCUGCUUGCCUGCUUGGCUGGAUCUCCCUCCUGCAAUAGUGUAGCCUAUGAUGGGGAUCUACAUCAGCCAUAUUCUUUGGGGAUCCAAAGGGGAGGGUCGGGAACCUUGUUGAGAAAAAUUGGAGAGAUUUUUCAAAGACCUUGAUUCACCCCCUCUCAGUGUCAACUUGGGAGUAUCACUUUUCAAUGAGAGAAAGUAGUGCUACCUCUACAAGGGGAGUUGAGGGUGGUGUGGUGGGUCGUAUUGGAAACCAUGGCCAUAACCCUGCCCUUCACAGCUAGGAGCUGCAAAGAAAUGGGACCAAUUAUCUCACUUGGUCUUAACUCACUAACCGAGAUAAUAAUCUUUUGGGGUAUUUUACUGGUGACACCCCCAAACCAACCGAUACUGCAACUUCUAAUAUUCUAUUGGCCAAUGAUGCUCUCAUCUUGUCUUAUUUAUUGGAACUCUAUGGACUCCACUAUCAGCCUAAGCUUUGUCUUGUUAACACUGCAAAGGAAUUAUAGGAUGCGGUCAAACAUAUUUAUAUAUGGUCAAAUAAUUAUGCUCAGAUCUAUGAACUUCCUUGGAAAGUUCAUGAGACUAUUCAGAAAGAGUUAUCACUCCUUGCUUACUACUCAACUCUUAAUACACUAUGGCAACAAUUGGACUUCUAUCAUUCGAUUUCCAUUAUUUGUACAACUGAUGCUAGUAUGUUUCAGGAGGAGUGUGAAAUGGAAAGGGUGUAUGAUUUUCUUAUUGGACUGAUCCAGGAGUAUGAUCAAAUUUGCAUUCAGGUUGUUUGCCGUGAUAAAUUCCCUACUUCUCUUGAAGCUUACAAUUUGGUCCAACAUGAGGAACGUUGUCACUUGGUUAUGAUGCUUAUUGUUGCAGCUACUCGUUUAAGAUUGGUUAAUACUCAAGUGGAUCUUAGAAUCACCGAUAAACGGGCUGCUUCUGCCAAAGAGCCGGUUAAGUGUGCUUAUGUGGGUGUCCCUAUCACACCAGAGAAACUUGUUGGAAGCUUCAUGGUCACCCUAAGGGGAGACACGGUAGGAAACAUGAAUAUUCUCACCCUCAGAAUCAUAUGUCCGAGUCUAUUAAUGGUUCUUCCCCUGCUACCGUCUCUCGUUUUUCUUCAGAAUAGAUGGUGGCUCUAGUGUAUAAUGACUCAGCUUGGUUCAGCACCUCCCACAAUGGCAUCUUCCACUACACUUGCUUCUCACCUCUCCCAAUCAGGUAUCUUUCAUGUUUCUUCACCUCCUAGUCCAUCAUGGGUGCUUGAUUCAUGGUGCCUCUGAUCAUAUAGUUAGCUCCUCGGACAUGUUCCGUACCUAUCUCCCUUGCUCAGGUAAGGUUAAGGUCUGAGUUGCUGAUGUAUACUAUGAUUAGGACCCAGUUCUAUGCCCACGCUCAGAUUUUGAGGAGUGAUAAUGGGACUGAAUAUAUAGUUGGUUCAUUCCGUUAGUAUCUUGACGAACACACUAUUUUGUCCCAAACCUCCUGUGUUCAUACUCUUGAACAGAAUGGUAUCCUAGAAAGGAAGAAUCAACAUCUUCUCUAAGUCACUCGUUCCUUAAUGUUUAGUGUUUACCACCCAAGUUGCCAAAUUCUAUUAGGGUGAUUUAGUCUUUUCUUUUGACUGUCCUGGACCAAAACAUUGGUUAUUCUUCUUUCGGAUCCCACUCUUGCUUCUCAUCUUCCUCUCAGGGUAUUUGGCUGUGUUUUUUGCUCACAAUUCCUCUCCUUCUCGAUCCAAACUUGAUCCCUGGGCUCCUCGUUGUAUCUUUUUUGGGUAUUCAGCCUCUCAAAAGGGAUACAAAUGUUAUAAUCCUUCUUUAUGUCACUUAUUAGUCAUAAUGGAUGUUACAUUUCAGGAAAAUGAGUCCCAUUACCAGUCUUCUCUUCGGGUGUAGAGUGUUGAGGAAGAGGUGAAGCACUUUCUUCUCCUUUGGUUAUUGAUACUAUUCGACUUCAGGGGGAGAAGGUAGCCAAUGAUACAAGGGAAGGAUUUGGCAUUCCACCAGAACCAAAAAAGGGAUCUACUCACUUACUCCCUAUGGAAUGAAAAGCUUGUCUCAAAUACAGCAUAUCCAUCUUUGCUUCCAGAUCCAUCUCUGUCGUCAUUAGGGCUGGAAAGAAGCUGUUAUAGAUCCUAAGUGGAGAAAUGCUAUGGUGGAGGAGAUGUAGGCCUUGAAGAAAAAAUGAAACCUGGGAGCUUGUCCCUCAUCUUGAAGAGAAGAUGGUAGGCUGUAACGAGUAUUCACUAUAAAAUAGAAGUCAGAUGGAACAAUUGAGAGAUAUAAAGCAAAAAUGGUUGCUAAGGCCUUCACCCAAACCUAUGGGAUUGACUAUCAAGACACAUUUGUCCGCAUUAUUAUCUUAUGAUGUAAAUCUUGGAUGGAAUCUCCAACAAUUUGAUGUGAAGAAUGCUUUCCUUAAUAGUGAUAUCGAGGAAGAGGUGUAUAUGGAUAUACCCCCAGGCUUUGCAUCAUCAGCUACAAAUGGCAAUGUGUGUAGAUUACAAAAGUCUCCUACGGUCUCCAACAAGCACCACGAGCUUGGUUUGGCCGGUUCCAGAAGGAUAUGCAACACUUUGGGUUUAAACAAAGCCAUACUAACAAUACCUUAUCUGUCAAACAAAAGGAUGGGAAGGUUGCUGUCCUUAUCAUCUAUAUUGAUGAAAUGGUGAUAACUGAUCACAAGGAGUGAUGAUGUAUGAAUCUCGUAGUUGAAGUCUGAAUUGUCCAUAGAAUUUAAGACCAAGGAUUUAGGACCUGUCAAAUAUUUUCUAGGGAUUGAAGUAGCCUAUUCAAACAAGGGUAUUUUCAUUUCCCAAAGAAAGUAUGUUCUAGAUCUUCUCAGUGAGACAUGGAUGCUCGGUUGUAAACAUGCAUAGUCUCCUAUUGACGUUAAUCACCAACUCAGCUGUAAAGGUGGUGAGUCAGUAGACAAGGAGAGAUAUCAGCGAUUUGUAUGCAGACUAAUAUACCUCUCCCCUUCUCGACCAGAUAUUACUUAUGCUGUUGGUGUCGUGUGUCGUUUCUUACAUGAUUAUUGGACUAAUCACAUUGAAGUUGUAUACGAAUAUUGACGUACUUAGAGUGUAUACCCAGGAAAGGGUAUUUUAUUCUCCAACAUUACCAAUCUGAAGUUGGAAUGAUUUACCAACAUUGACUGGGCUGGUUCCAUUAAUGAUCGGCACUCUAAGUUAGCAUAUUGUACAUUCCUCGGAGGCAAUCUGGUUACUUGGCGAAGCAAAAAUGCAAUUAGUGGUAUCUAGAUCCAAUACAGAAGCGGAGUACUGAGCAAUGACAUAAGGUGUAUGUGAACUUAUUUGGCUAAAGGUGUUACUUAGAUUUGGGGGUCACAUCUGGGAUACCUACAAGACUAUACUCAUAAUAAUAAGGCAACAAUCAGUACAGCCCAUAACCCAGUCCAGCAUGACGGGACCAAGCAUAUUGAGAUUGAUAGACACUUCAUCAAGGAGAAACUUAAACAAGGCUUAAUCUGCAUGCCAUUCGUUACCUCAGAGAACCAGUUAGUUGAUGAAUUCACUAGGGGGCUGACUUUUACGUCAUUUCAUCCUAUUGUAUUCAAGUUGGGCAUGAGGGAUAUUUAUUCACCAAUUUGAGGGAGAGUAUUAAAAAUAGGUGUUGACGAGAUGACUAGAUUAUCUAGGUUCAUUAUAUGUUGGGAUAAGACUUGUGACUCAGUCUUACCUAAUAUACCAUAUUUGUAUUUGCUAUCCUCUUUAUAAAUAAAGAACGACCUCUGUCAUUCAAGAGAAGCC